UACGGAGGGUGCGAGCGUUGUUCGGAAUCACUGGGCGUAAAGGGCGUGUAGGCGGUCCGCUAAGUCUGAUGUGAAAGCCCGGGGCUCACCCCCGGAAGGGCAUUGGAAACUGACGGACUCGAGUCCCGAAGAGGAGGGUGGAAUUCCUGGUGUAGCGGUGAAAUGCGUAGAUAUCAGGAGGAACACCGGUGGCGAAGGCGACUUCCUGGCCUGUUCUUGGCUGAGGCGCGAAAGCUAGGGUAGCAAACGGG
rnacentral:rRNA from 1 species